rnacentral:rRNA from 1 species
GUCUGAGAGGAUGACCAGCCACACUGGAACUGAGACACGGUCCAGACUCCUACGGGAGGCAGCAGUGGGGAAUAUUGCACAAUGGGCGCAAGCCUGAUGCAGCCAUGCCGCGUGUAUGAAGAAGGCCUUCGGGUUGUAAAGUACUUUCAGCGGGGAGGAAGGUGUUGUGGUUAAUAACCGCAGCAAUUGACGUUACCCGCAGAAGAAGCACCGGCUAACUCCGUGCCAGCAGCCGCGGUAAUACGGAGGGUGCAAGCGUUAAUCGGAAUUACUGGGCGUAAAGCGCACGCAGGCGGUCUGUCAAGUCGGAUGUGAAAUCCCCGGGCUCAACCUGGGAACUGCAUUCGAAACUGGCAGGC